rnacentral:rRNA from 1 species
UGGGGAAUAUUGCACAAUGGGGGAAACCCUGAUGCAGCGACGCCGCGUGAGCGAAGAAGGCUUUCGAGUCGUAAAGCUCUGUCCUAUGAGAAGAUAAUGACGGUAUCAUAGGAGGAAGCCCUGGCUAAAUACGUGCCAGCAGCCGCGGUAAUACGUAUGGGGCGAGCGUUGUCCGGAAUUAUUGGGCGUAAAGGGUACGUAGGCGGUUUUUUAAGUCAGGUGUCAAAGCGUGGAGCUUAACUCCAUUAAGCACUUUCCACUGCACGACUUGAUUCCACGAUCGGCAAGUCUACUUCCUCGUGUCGCGGUGACAUGCUUAGCUCUUCUGUUGACUCCCGGUCUCUCAGUCGCCUUUCUGGACUUUUUCUGACGCUCAGGUACGAAAGCGUGGGGAGCAAACAGG